GUGAGGCUUUCGGACUGACCUAAGGGAGGAGGCAACUCUUCCCCCUGGUCGGAAAGUUAUCCAAACUCGGUCAUUUAGAGGAAGUAAAAGUCGUAACAAGGUCUCCGUUGGUGAACCAGCGGAGGGAUCAUUA
rnacentral:rRNA from 1 species